AUGAUGGCAGCAGCCCAUAUGGGGGGCCCGCCCAUGAUGCCAAUGAUGGGCUCUCCUCCUCCUGGGAUGAUGCCAGUGGGACCUGCUCCUGGAAUGAGGCCGCCCAUGGGAGGCCACAUGCCCAUGAUGCCUGGGUGCCCAAUGAUGAGACCUCCUGCCCGUCUCAUGAUGGUGCCCAGUCAGCCCAGAAUGACUCAACCAGACAGA
rnacentral:lncRNA from 1 species